rnacentral:rRNA from 1 species
CCUACGGGAGGCAGCAGUGGGGAAUAUUGGGCAAUGGGCGCAAGCCUGACCCAGCAACGCCGCGUGAAGGAAGAAGGCCUUCGGGUUGUAAACUUUCUUUAAGAGGGAAGUGCAGAAGUCGGUACCUCUUGAAUAAGCCACGGCUAACUACGUGCCAGCAGCCGCGGUAAUACGUAGGUGGCAAGCGUUGUCCGGAUUUACUGGGUGUAAAGGGCGUGUAGCCGGGCUGACAAGUCAGAUGUGAAAUUCCGGGGCUCAACCCCGGAUCUGCAGUUGAAACUGUUGGUCUUGAGUAUCGGAGAGGCAGGCGGAAUUCCUAGUGUAGCGGUGAAAUGCGUAGAUAUUAGGAGGAACACCAGUGGCGAAGGCGGCCUGCUGGACGACAACUGACGGUGAGGCGCGAAAGCGUGGGGAGCAAACAGGAUUAGAUACCCCAGUAGUC